UCCCUGGUGGUCCAGUGGUUAGGACUCUGCAUUUCUACUUCAGGGGGCCACGGGUUCGAUCCCCGGUCAGGGAA